rnacentral:rRNA from 1 species
UACGGAGGGGGCUAGCGUUGUUCGGAAUUACUGGGCGUAAAGCGCACGUAGGCGGCUUUGUAAGUUAGAGGUGAAAGCCCGGGGCUCAACUCCGGAAUUGCCUUUAAGACUGCAUCGCUAGAAUUGUGGAGAGGUGAGUGGAAUUCCUGGUGUAGCGGUGAAAUGCGUAGAUAUCAGGAGGAACACCUGUGGCGAAAGCGGCUCACUGGACCAUAACUGACGCUGAUGCACGAAAGCUAGGGGAGCAAACAGG